rnacentral:rRNA from 1 species
GAUGAACGCUGGCGGCGUGCCUAAUACAUGCCAGUCGAGCGAACAGACGAGGAGCUUGCUCCUCUGACGUUAGCGGCGGACGGGUGAGUAACACGUGGAUAACCUACCUAUAAGACUGGGAUAACUUCGGGAAACCGGCGCUAAUACCGGAUAAUAUAUUGAACCGCAUGGUUCAAUAGUGAAAGACGGUUUUGCUGUCACUUAUAGAUGGAUCCGCGCCGCAUUAGCUAGUUGUUAAGGUAACGGCUUACCAAGGCAACGAUGAGUAGCCGACCUGAGAGGGUGAUCGGCCACACUGGAACUGAGACACGGUCCAGACUCCUACGGGAGGCAGCAGUAGGGAAUCUUCCGCAAUAGGCGAAAGCAUGACGGAGCAACGCCGCGUGAGUGAUGAAGAUCUUCGGAUCGUAAAACUCUGUUAUUAGGGAAGAACAAAUGUGUAAGUAACUAUGCACGUCUUGACGGUACCUAAUCAGAAAGCCACGGCUAACUACGUG